rnacentral:rRNA from 1 species
GACAGAGAGGGCAAGUGUUAUCCAUCAUAGUUAGGUGUAAAGUGUACAAAAGGCUGUCUAAAUAGAAAAAAAUAAAACUCAUAAUUAAAAUAUGGUAAAUUUUUUUAAUUUUUUAGACUUGAGAAAAAUUAAGGUGUUUUAAAUUGCUAGUGUAGGGAUAAAAUCCUUCGAUAUUAGCAGGAAAACUCUAGGCGAAAGCAAAAUACUCAACUUUUCUGACGCUAAAGUACGUAGGUCUGGGGAUCAAACGGG